rnacentral:rRNA from 1 species
AUUGAACGCUGGCGGCAGGCUUAACACAUGCAAGUCGAGCGGAGUGAUGGUGCUUGCACUAUCACUUAGCGGCGGACGGGUGAGUAAUGCUUAGGAAUCUGCCUAUUAGUGGGGGACAACAUCUCGAAAGGGAUGCUAAUACCGCAUACGUCCUACGAGAGAAAGCAGGGGAUCACUUGUGACCUUGCGCUAAUAGAUGAGCCUAAGUCGGAUUAGCUAGUUGGUGGGGUAAAGGCCUACCAAGGCGACGAUCUGUAGCGGGUCUGAGAGGAUGAUCCGCCACACUGGGACUGAGACACGGCCCAGACUCCUGCGGGAGGCAGCAGUGGGGAAUAUUGGACAAUGGGGGGAACCCUGAUCCAGCCAUGCCGCGUGUGUGAAGAAGGCCUUAUGGUUGUAAAGCACUUUAAGCGAGGAGGAGGCUCUUUUGGUUAAUACCCAAGAUGAGUGGACGUUACUCGCAGAAUAAGCACCGGCUAACUCUGUGCCAGCCGCCGCCGUAAAAC